AGCUGUAGGGGCAAUCUGGGUGAAACAUCUACAAUAUUGAUACCUAGGGCUGAGUUGAUUGAUGCGGAUGGCUAGGCAAGUGACCUUUUCUCUCUAAUGUCCCAUUGUCCCUUUGUCUUAUACCUUUGACUCAAUUGAAAAGGACAAGAUUCUUUGAUAGAGGAGAAAGGAUUUUCAGUAAAGAGCAUGAAUAGCUAUAUUCCUCUUUUGGAAACUACUACCAACUUUCAAGGUUCAUUUGUAGGCAAACAAAGGUAUUCAAGUUACUAAGAUUCUAGAUACAUGAAAAUGGAGUACUGUAUUUGGCAGUCUAUCUUU
rnacentral:snRNA from 1 species